AUACCAGGUUGCUCUAUAUGAUUUCUUAAAAAAGAAAAAGAAAAAUAAAAGCAAGAAGAUGAACUCCUUGAAAAGGUUCGGAAGGAUAAAUGUUGCACAGCAAGAGGUGCGAUUUGUUGUGAUUUCCAAUUCAAAUGGAGGAACUUUAAAGAUAUAUUCAAUCGAUCAAGAUCGUAUGAAGCUGCGAUUUUAACAGGAUCCUGAUAAUGAAUUUUAUCAAAAAUCAGUUGAAGAGGCUGCAAAGGUACAUUGCUGCAGGCAAUUGAAUCACAUGAAGAAAUUUAAUUAGAAAUCCAGGGUAAGGGUAGUUAUCGUAUGAAGGUAUUAAAAAAACAUACCUGCUGUGUUGUACUUGCAUGAAGAGAUGUAAUAGAAACAGGAAGAAAAAACAUGAAGAAGACGAAUCACGAAAAUGUGAAGGGUAUGUUAUCGUAUGAAGGAAUGCAUGAACAGAGAUAGAGAUGAGUAAACCGAAAUUGUCCCAAAAUCGGCUGCUAAAUUGUAGGGAAUCAGAUUUGGUAUUGAAAGUGAUUGAAAUUAAUUGAAUGGGCGGGAAAAAAGUGGGUAAAUAGGUGGAGAGAAUGACACGUGGCAUCUUGCUUGUGUAUAAGAUGGACACGUGGCGUUUAAGGGAGGUUUUUAUUAAGUACUAGGUGUGAGACCCAUGUAUUACAUGAGUUAUUUAAAAAAAAUAAAUAUAAAAUUUUAACAAUUUGAAAA